CCCAGAGUAAGCUGCAAGAAAACAUCCGGCAGCUAAGGAUGUCCUAGAUGGAGGAAACCCUUAGCUGUCCAUCUCCUUGAGAAGUUCGACACGAGGGCAGCUGGAGCGGGCAGCUGCCGGGGCUCGGCCAUGGCUUGAGGCUGCACGGGGCCCUCACUGCCGGGGGGCCGACCAGCCCAUGUCACUGAAGGGUCCCUCGCCCGUGGCCGACCUGGGAGGAGGGCCGCAGGGCGUGCAGAGGUCAGAAUCGGUGUCCGAUUCCCCUUCCGCAAUGUAGGGUCUGAUUUUGGCCACGGCUGCAUAGCAACCGUUGUUAAGGAUGUCCAAAUUCUCUUUGGACUGGGAAAUGCUAAAGCCGCUGAAAGAGCGCUCCAGUUCCUCGUGGUCUACCGAGGGGAUGGAGAUGGACGUGUCGCUGUCUCUCAGGGCACUCUCGUGGUGUUUGGUGUUACACUGCCAGAUGACGCACCCUCAGCUAGCUCAGAAAUACACGAGCUGUUGGAGUCGGUGAGAUACACUGUGGGACUGUGGAACUCAAUGAAUGGGGGACAUCCGUGGUUGGCAAGGGAUGAGACACGAGACAGCGUGAACACAACGUUGAAAAGAGCACAUUACAGACACGACACAGUGACAGAGACAUUCGUGAAUAAAGAGGAAAGUGCAGGUAAA
rnacentral:lncRNA from 1 species